UGGGAAUUGAAUUCCGGACAUCUGGAAGACCAGUUAGUGCUCUUAACCUCCGAGUCAUCACUCCAGCUCCUGAAGAUGACCUCUUUGAUGGUGCCAGGUGCAGCUGAGAUGAGAGGCUGAAGAAUUUUAUACUCUCUCAAUUUGGUGUGAGUACCUCCAUAUUCUUCCUACCCACCAUGAAAACGCCUAUACUCUUUCCAGCUGGCGUGAAGACCUCCAUACCCCCACCUGGUGUGAGGACCUCUGCACUCUCAUCUGGUACAAGCAUGUGAGUGCAGAUACCCUCCAGAAGAGGGUGUAAGUCCCUUGGAACUGGAGUUACAGGUGCUGGGAACUAAACUCCAGUCCUCGGUGAGAGUAGUGAGCAGGCUUAAAAGAUGAAGCAUUCCCCUUUCUGCCGACUCAUCACAGACCAGACCAGAGUCCUCAUCCAGUGGCUGAUGGAAGCAGAGACAGACAUCCACAGAAAUACACUGAGCUGAAAUCUGGAACCUAGUUGAAGAGAGGGAGGAAUGAAGAACGAAGGGGUCUGUACCAGGUUGGAGAAACCCACAGAAACAGUUGGCCUGAAAAAGGGAAAGCAUAUGGACCCCAGACGCUCUUUGGGAGGCCAGUACGGGACUAAUCCAGCCCCUGAUCAUGGAUGCCAAUGGGGAGGCCCCUGCACUCCUGGGAGCCUCCGGAGGUGGACUGGUGUUUUGCCCUGUUGUGUGUGGGGGACUUCAAGAGCCCAUCCCACUUGAAGGGAUGCACUCUGUCUCUGAACACAUAGGGAGGGACCUAGGCCCAGCACAGGAAGAUUUGGUGGACUUGAUGGAGCCCUGGUUGGGGGCCCUACCCUGCCUGGGGAGUGGUGGG
rnacentral:lncRNA from 1 species